rnacentral:misc_RNA from 1 species
GAUGAAGAACGUAGUGAAAUGCGAUAAGUAAUGUGAAUUGCAGAAUUCAGUGAAUCAUCGAAUCUUUGAACGCACAUUGCGCCCCUUGGUAUUCCGAGGGGCAUGCCUGUUCGAGCGUCAUUAUAACCCCUCAAGCUCAGCUUGGUGUUGGGGCCUGCUGCACUGGCAGCCCUUAAAAUCAGUGGCGGCGCCGUCUGGCUCUAAGCGUAGUAAUUCUUCUCGCUAUGGAGUCCUGGUGGAUGCUUGCCAUCAACCCCCAAUUUUUCUAUGGUUGACCUCGGAUCAGGUAGGGAUACCCGCUGAACUUAAGCAUAUCAAAAGCGGAGGA